rnacentral:rRNA from 1 species
AUUGAACGCUGGCGGCAGGCCUAACACAUGCAAGUCGAGCGGAUGAAGGGAGCUUGCUCCUGGAUUCAGCGGCGGACGGGUGAGUAAUGCCUAGGAAUCUGCCUGGUAGUGGGGGAUAACGUCCGGAAACGGGCGCUAAUACCGCAUACGUCCUGAGGGAGAAAGUGGGGGAUCUUCGGACCUCACGCUAUCAGAUGAGCCUAGGUCGGAUUAGCUAGUUGGUGGGGUAAAGGCCUACCAAGGCGACGAUCCGUAACUGGUCUGAGAGGAUGAUCAGUCACACUGGAGCUGAGACACGGUCCAGACUCCUACGGGAGGCAGCAGUGGGGAAUAUUGGACAAUGGGCGAAAGCCUGAUCCAGCCAUGCCGCGUGUGUGAAGAAGGUCUUCGGAUUGUAAAGCACGUUAAGUUGGGAGGAAGGGCAGUAAGUUAAUACCUUGCUGUUUUGACGUUACCAACAGAAUAAGCACCGGCUAACUUCGUG